AGAACGAACGCUGGCGGCAGGCCUAACACAUGCAAGUCGAACGCCCCGCAGGGGGAGUGGCAGACGGGUGAGUAACACGUGGGAACGUGCCCAAAGGUACGGAACAAUUCCGGGAAACUGGAGCUAAUACCGUAUGUGCCCGAAAGGGGAAAGAUUCAUCGCCUUUGGAUCGGCCCGCGUCUGAUUAGCUAGUUGGCGGGGUAAUGGCCCAUCAAGGCGACGAUCAGUAGCUGGUCUGAGAGGAUGACCAGCCACACUGGGACUGAGACACGGCCCAGACUCCGUACGGGAGCAGCAGGUGGGGAAUAGUUGGACAAGUGGGCGCAAGCCUGACUCCAGCCAGUCGCCGCGUGAGUGAGUGGAACGGUCCGUUAGGUUAGUAACGUCUUC
rnacentral:rRNA from 1 species